UACAGAGGUCUCAAGCGUUGUUCGGAUUCAUUGGGCGUAAAGGGUGCGUAGGUGGCGGGGUAAGUCAGGUGUGAAAUUUCGGAGCUUAACUCCGAAACUGCAUUUGAUACUGCCUUGCUUGAGGACUGGAGAGGAGACUGGAAUUCACGGUGUAGCAGUGAAAUGCGUAGAGAUCGUGAGGAAGACCAGUGGCGAAGGCGGGUCUCUGGACAGUUCCUGACACUGAGGCACGAAGGCCAGGGGAGCAAACAGG
rnacentral:rRNA from 1 species